rnacentral:misc_RNA from 1 species
GAUGAAGAACGUAGCGAAAUGCGAUAAGUAGUGUGAAUUGCAGAAUUCAGUGAAUCAUCGAAUCUUUGAACGCACAUUGCGCCCUAUAGUAUUCUGUAGGGCAUGCAUGUUCGAGCGUCAUUUGUACCUUCAAGCUUUGCUUGGUGUUGGGUGUUUGUCCUCUCCCUGGUGUUUGGACUCGCCUUAAAACAAUUGGCAGCCAGUGUUUUGUUAUUGAAGCGCAGCACAAUUUGCGAUUCUGGCCUUAAAAUACUAGCGUCCAUAAGUACAUUCUCACUUUUGACCUCGGAUCAUGUAGGGAUACCCGCUGAACUUAAGCAUAUCAAUAAGCGGAGGA